CGUUGACUCGAUCCUGGUUCGAUUCGUGUUUAGUGUGUGUUAUUAAUUUGUUUUUUUUUUAAAGAAAAAGAAAAGUGUAUAUAUGUAAUCUUAUGCAUGAAAACCCAUGCAAUUCCUUUCCUUAUUUUAUCGUGGCCCAUUCUUUUCUAAAAGAUGAAAAGCCCACACUUUUAAUUACAUGAAUAAGCCAUAUUCAUGUGCUUGAAUUUUGCAGCAGAAGCCUUCAUUCCUUCCUCUCCUAUUUAAACGUGCUUCAUCUACUGCAUUACGUUUCUAUUUUUUUUCUUAACCUAAUAUUUCAUAUCAUUUUGAAACACAACCUCAGCCGCCGCACUCUUUAACAAUCUGAAACUUCAUUAAAUUACAUUCCAACUCCAUUCGAUUCAAGCUCGCUAUAAUCUGAAUUUUCUUCAACGAUUCACAUCAACUGAGCGAUCUCUAUAAUCGUUACGCUUCGGAAUCAUAUACGACCCGUCGACUGUUCGUACUUCAGUGGCGAACCAGAGUUAGGUGCUUGUCAGGAUCACGUGGAUUUAGCAAGCAGUGAGUUUAUAUCUCUAUUUACCUCUUUAUUAAGCAAUUAUUAUAUUUUGUAUAUAUAUAUAUGUAUAAGCAGCUUUUGAACUGUUUUCGGCAUUGUGGAUUUGAUUUGGAACGUGCUACUCGAUGGGCAUCAUCGGGACUGCGUGCGCACCGGUAAUGAUUAUGGUAUUGAGGUAGGUUUGAGAUACGUCUCACCUUAGUGAGGGCACUGGUGGAAGAUACGUCUCCUGGGCUCACUAUUUAUUAAGUGAUAGUCGGGGAUCGGUUAUUGAGAUACGUCUCACCGACACGACAAUAGAUUUAGAAUUGUGGUUUAGGGUUUCAUUGAUAAUCCAUAAUGAAAAUGUUUUAUUAAACGUUUUAAAGGUUUUUUAACUUAAUAAAUGUAAAUGGUUAUAUAAACUCUACUCAGUAAAUCUGACCCCGUUGUUUUCCCAAAUUUUCCAGGUUUAUGAUUUGAGCUUUGGUCGAUCUCCGUUUCUUCAUUCUCGGAGGUUUUUAUUUUAUUUUCAGAAUAGAAGAGUCGAACUGUUUUAAACUCUUAGACCGCAGUAGUAGUAUUAGAUUAUUUAUGAUUAGUUUUUUAUUAUAUUUUAGACUGUUGAUUGUUGGUGAUUACCUUAUCGUUUUUGGGCAUGAUUACAGUAAUUAUGGUAUUUAUA